rnacentral:lncRNA from 1 species
CUUAUUAGUCGUGUAGAAUCAAGUAGGGAGGGUGAAUUAGGAAGUAAAGCUUUUUAAUUUUAUGUGGUGUGAGGUUCCAGGAGUAUUACAAUCCUUCCAAAUCCCUCCUACGUCAAGCCAAAGCCCAAAUCGAGAAGGGACAAAGAGCUUGAGGCCAACACUGGUCUUUGAGGACCAAAAAAUAGCAUCAUCUCAUCGAAAGAAGAGAAUCAAUGUUCAGCCAAUCCCAAUCUUGGCUCAUGGCCCUCAUGACUGAGAAGGGGAAGGAAUGAGGAAGCCUGCCUGCAUGCUAAGCCGCUUCAUUCUUGAUAUAUCUAACUU